rnacentral:lncRNA from 1 species
CAAAAUGUGUGUCCAGAUCUGGGGUGACUCAUGAGCCCAGCACUAUGAAUUUACAUGUUCCUGAUCACACAACAACUAACACCAUUGGGUACUUACUGCCCAAAGCACUUAAUAUAUAAUCAAAUAUAUGAAUCUCAUUUAAUAUAUACUGUUUUACAUUCUAUUUUUUCCAUUAGUUUUCCAUGGUGAAGAUUUCCUCAUCUCAUUCAAUAUUCUUCAAAAGCAUUUUUCACUGGUAACAGCAUAUUCCAUAAUCUAGAUGUAUAGCAAUUUAUUUCACUUUCCCGUAUCAUUGAACACAUUAGUUGUUUGUAAUUUUCUGCUUUCAUAAGUCAUUCAAUGUGUAUUAGCCAGAUUUGUCUAGUCUAUGUUGUUAAAACAAACACCCCUUAAAUCUCGGUGGCUUAAAAUAACAGAUUUAUUUUUUACUCACGUAGGGGGUUACCAAGGGAUCUCUGCACAUCAUAGUCACGUAGACACCAAGUCUAACAGAGAAGCAUCAUCUCGAAUGUCAUUGGUCACUGUGCCAGAAGGAAAAGAUAACUCUGGAGAGAUUUAUGCUGGCAAUUAAAUGCAUCCUGAAGGUGACACAUACCACUUCUGAACUCAUAGGUAAAAUCUAUUUGCAAGGCCCCACCCGAUCAUAAAGGAGCCAGAAGGGAAAAAGAACAAGAUAUGGCAAGUAUUCCUCAGUGUGACAUCAUUACAAAUGUUCUUGUACCUAAAUCUUUUUGUGUUUUUCUACUUAUUGUUGCUACUUAAUGUGUUUUGCUACAAAUUGUUGUAAGAGACAGUAUAAACAUUUUUAUGUUAUUGAUGCAUGCCCUGGAGUUUUAUAUUUUAUGCUCUCCUCUGUACAGGGCCAUAGGAUCCUGCGAACUACAUUUCCCAGAUUCCUUUGCCUGCUGGGUAGAAGCCGUUUAUUUGUUGUUGCAUCUGGCUCCAUCAGCAAUCAUGAGAGCCAACUGCAAGUGAUUAUGGUCUCAAACAGCAGAAAGUCCAGAAACAACCAACAGGAUGUCAUCUUCUGCUCAGGAUAGUAAAGGGCUGCACAAAGGGCAGAGAGGAUGAUUCAGAGCCACUGCAAUGAAGUGAGAUUCUCUCCACAGAAUCAAUGGCAGCUCUGCUCUCAGUGGCCAAUGAGCCCUGCCCACAAUUCCAGUGGAAAGUGGUCCAUGAAAUCGCUCUCCUGUGGGUAUUGCUGUGAUGUGAGAAGUAACGGCCAGAAACUCAAACCUCCAGUCCCAACUUUAUGAUCCUCCUUCUUUACCAGGGCAGCCACUUCCUUCAUCUCUAUAUUCUGGGCUCCUGUCUUGAAAAAUAGUUUUUGAUUAGUAUACAGAGACUUCUAUGGGCACUACCUCACACCUCAAAUUAUGCUCAACAUUUUUAGUGAAUAUCCUUUCUGUUGUCCUUGCAGGUGGCUUAAAGAGAUGAAAUUAUGUGUUGGAUGGAUAAGUAUCAAUAAUUUAUAAAGAAUUCUACUCAAUAUUUCACUGAAAGAUGUCAUUUUUUUUUCUAUUGGUUUCUGUCUUUGCUUUUAUGCUUAGAAGACAUUUUUCCAUCUCAAGAUCAAAAAAAUCAUUGAUCUUUCUUUUCUGUUUGUUUGGACAUAAUAGUUUACCAUGAACAGUGAAUAAUGGUUGGGCUCUUGAAAAAUCUUACAGCAAAGAGCAGUAGUUGGUAUGCAAAUAAAAUAAAAUAAAAUAAAAAUAAUAAUAAUGUAUUUGCCUUUCCUUUUUUUUUUCUUAAGAUUUUAUUUAUUUAUUCAUGAGAGACACACAGAGAGAGAGAGGCGGAGACACCUCCCACUGAGCCACCCAGGUAUCCUGGUAUUUGCCUUUUCUUUCAUUUCUAAAGAUUUUUUUUUUCAUUAUGAAAAACAUAAUUUUCCAAUAGCCUGUUCCACUUCAUUUCUUUCCUAGAGACUGUUUUAUGGGCUCAGGAAGAAAAGGGAGUACUGGACAGGAUGCCCAUGACUUCACACUUCUCCAAAGCAAAUUCUGUCUCUUCCUCAUUAUAGUAAUAGCCUCACAGAUGGAUCCCUCUAGUUCAGAGGCUGGCAUACUUUACCUGUAUAAGGCAGAUGGUCAUCUUUUAGGCUUUACCAGUCUGUGGAAACUACUCCAUUCUGCUGUUGUAGUGUGAAGCAGUCAUAGCAAUAUGUAAACGAACGAGCGUCUUCCAGUAAAACCUCACAGGAACUACAAGCUGUCAACUCCUACCUCCACACUGUGGAAGAGGGUAACCUGGUAUGUAUGAUUAAUGGAC